AGCUCGAAAAGGCAAACCAUCCGAAAGGGUGGGACGCAAAGCCACUGACCUUAAUCCUGGAGGAAGGAAAGGCAGCAGGGCUGCCGAG
rnacentral:ncRNA from 1 species